CCAAAGGGGCUUACAGUUUAGUGGGAAAGGGCACCAGGAAUCCAAUAAUCACAAGAUAAAUAUAUAACUCAGUGCACACUACGGUCUAUAGUGGGGGUCUGAUUUAGUGAGACGCCAUGGUAGGGGCAUGGAAGGGUUUCCUAAGGAGGGGCUAUUUGAUCUGAGAACUGAGGGAUGAACAGAAGCCUGAAAUGCCAUUCUUGGAAGGAACCAGGCAUGUCCACUAGCUCAGGAGAGGUGCCUUGUGACCAGAUAGGGUCAAUGAGUUGCCCAAGGGCACUCAGCAAGCUAGGAGUGGGGUCAUAGCCAGAUCCUCCAUGCAUUUAAGGAAAUGCUUAAACAUGAGGGCUCUGCAACCCAAAGGGGCUGAACCGGAUGCCCAGAUCGUCCUGCUUAAUAGCUCAUCACUUCAUCCUCCUAGGUCUUCAUUUCCUCCUCCGUGGAGUGAGGAUUAUAAUAGCUGCUUCCAUACAGCGAUGUUUUAAGAUGUAAUUGGAAAAAGUAUGCAAUAUGUUAGCUAUUAAAUAGUAAUAAUAAAUGUUAUUAUAAUAAAUGUUAGCUAUUACUAUUAUUUAUUCUUGUUUGGUCUUUCAAAGCAACUCUAUAGGAUUGAAAGAUAAAGAAGGACCCCCCCAAACCCACCCACCAACAUUUUAUUUUAAACAAAAAGCUGCAAAAGUUGCCCAAUCAUGCAUGCAUGCAUAGAUUCAUACAACAUAUUUAUUUAUUGAGUUCUUUCAGUGGUGAAGGCAUUAUUCAAGGUGGUAGGAAAGAGAAGAGGGACCGAGAAAUCAGAGUGGAGUCCCUGCACUCAAGGUUGGAUUAACUGUUUGAAGAGCACCGCGUUUCAGAGAAUCGGAUGCGAGGGUUGGAGGCACACGGAGAUGCCGUCUUGAUUAUGCCCUCAUUUCACAGGUGGAGAAACUGAGGCCCGGAUCAGGAGCGUGUUAGCUGAUAUCAGCAGUCCCGUGUCAUGUUCCUAACGUGUCCUCCAUAUAAUUACCAGCUGGAGUCCGUUUGGACUGAGAAUCUGCUUCACAUCAGUCUCUACUCUUAGCAGAGCAGCCAAGAGAGACUUUCAGAGAGCUGGAGAAAGCUCCUCACCCCAAUCCUGGGCCCAAGAUGGUUGGGCCACUUCUGAGGAAGAGCAGAAGCAGCUUUGCUCCUUCAGGAUUCUGUGAAAAUGUGUCGGUUCCUAGAAGACAGCAACUACACAGGGAGCUGCAGACCGGUGGAGGGUUUGCUUUAUUGACAGCGCUAAGUGCUUCCUUCCCAGCCUCUUCCUGUCCCAGUCACAAGCCUCCCCAGAAUGUGGUGGGCUCCUAGGCUUGACUGCCACAAGUCACACUUACAUUUUAUAGUCAUAACACGUCUCAAUCUCUGACAGGGGGUGUGAUGCAAAGAGAAAGCUGCUUUUGGUACAACCUGGUGAAACCCACUCCUUCAAAAAACCAUUUAGAUGCCAAUCCUGGUCCUCCACAGCCAGACUGGACUUUGCUGAGGAGUGCUUCUUGCUUUUCCUCGGGCCAAGGUUGUCAACUUCCUAACAGCAUAGCAAACAGCUUCUUAUUCUAAUUUUUUUACAAACGGAUUUUGGGGGCUGAUCUGAGGGAGAGUCAUCCCAGACUGAGGCAGUGUUAGCCCAUGGGGAACAGGACCCUGGCCUGAGGCUCCUCUGAAGUACCUAUGUGGGAAGCCAUCCAUCCUUCCCUCUGCAACGUGUUUGGGGAUCCCAUGCAAAUCACAGAGAGCUCACUUCCCAGCCUGUGAUGCCAGAUUCUGCUCCUAGCAUUGUUUAUCAGCAAUUACCCUGGAAGUCCUUCCUGUAAUUAACCCUAGCUUCAUGGACACUGCGAUUUGCACAUCACUUCCCUCCUAAACGCCGCCUCUUUGCCAUUAUUCCCUGGGAAGAUGAGUCGCUGAAGGAGAUGGCUUAUCUCAACUCAGUUUUUAACUAGCUUUUGUCUCCCAGAGAUGUUUGUCAAUGAUACAACAUUUCAAACCAGGCACUUUGCCCCCCUUUCUUCAACUUCUUUUUUUUUUAAUAACAUUUUCUUCCUUUCCUCUUUUAUAUUUCUUCCUCUCCCUCCCGUAGCCUUUCAUGCAUUCAGGAUGUAGGAGAGCCAGCAUCAAAGCUCAGCGCUCUUCUGAAUCCUCCUCCCCUAUGGAAAGUUCUAAUUCGUUCACGAACGGGUGAGACCAGUUGGAGGAGGAAUCAAACAGGGCAGACCGAUGUGUUCGUGUUCUGGAAUUUGCCAAAGGGAACCAUCAAUCUCCAAGACAUCGGUGCUGGGCAAAGUCUCAUGUGAGCUGAUUGUUUUAGGACGAGGCAAGACGUUGGAGGAGAUUUUAGAAAUCAGAUGAGUUUCCCGGCUUCCACACACUCCUGAGCAUCGG